rnacentral:rRNA from 1 species
GCCGGUGGUUAUUGCGAUAGUGUUACACCCGAUCCCAUUCCGAACUCGGAAGUUAAGCCUAUCUGCGCUGAUGGUACUUAGUCUUAAGACUUGGGAGAGUAGGACGUCGCCGGCA